rnacentral:rRNA from 1 species
UGCCCUAGUAACGGCGAGUGAAGCGGCAACAGCUCAAAUUUGAAAGCUAGCCUUCGGGUUCGCAUUGUAAUUUGUAGAGGAUGCUUUGGGUAAAACGCCAGUCUAAGUUCCUUGGAACAGGACGUCAUAGAGGGUGAGAAUCCCGUAUGUGACUGGAAAUGUUAACCUAUGUAAAGCUCCUUCGACGAGUCGAGUUGUUUGGGAAUGCAGCUCUAAAUGGGAGGUAAAUUUCUUCUAAAGCUAAAUAUUGGCGAGAGACCGAUAGCGCACAAGUAGAGUGAUCGAAAGAUGAAAAGCACUUUGGAAAGAGAGUUAAAAAGCACGUGAAAUUGUUGAAAGGGAAGCGCUUGCAAUCAGACUUGUUUAAACUGUUCGGCCGGUCUUCUGACCGGUUUACUCAGUUUGGACAGGCCAGCAUCAGUUUCGGCGGCCGGAUAAAGGCUCUGGGAAUGUGGCCUCCACUUCGGUGGAGGUGUUAUAGCCCAGUGUGUAAUACGGCCAGCCGGGACUGAGGUCCGCGCUUCGGCUAGGAUGCUGGCGUAAUGGUUGUAAGCGACCCGUCUUGAAACACGGACCAAGGAGUCUAACAUCUAUGCGAGUGUUCGGGUGUCAAACCCCUGCGCGUAAUGAAAGUGAACGGAGGUGGGAACCGCAAGGUG